rnacentral:rRNA from 1 species
AUACGGAGGAUCCGAGCGUUAUCCGGAUUUAUUGGGUUUAAAGGGAGCGUAGGUGGAUUGUUAAGUCAGUUGUGAAAGUUUGCGGCUCAACCGUAAAAUUGCAGUUGAAACUGGCAGUCUUGAGUACAGUAGAGGUGGGCGGAAUUCGUGGUGUAGCGGUGAAAUGCUUAGAUAUCACGAAGAACUCCGAUUGCGAAGGCAGCUCACCGGGCCGGAACUGACACUGAUGCUCGAAAGUGCGGGUAUCAAACAGGAUUAGAUACCCUGGUAGUCCGCACAGUAAACGAUGAAUACUCGCUGUUUGCGAUACACUGUAAGCGGCCAAGCGAAAGCGUUAAGUAUUCCACCUGGGGAGUACGCCGGCAACGGUGAAACUCAAAUGAAUUGACGGGG